UAUCCUACGGGGGCCAGCAGUGGGGAAUAUUGCACAAUGGGCGCAAGCCUGAUGCAGCCAUGCCGCGUGUAUGAAGAAGGCCUUCAGGUUGUAAAGUACUUUCAGCGGGGAGGAAGGGAGUAAAGUUAAUACCUUUGCUCAUUGACGUUACCCGCAGAAGAAGCACCGGCUAACUCCGUGCCAGCAGCCGCGGUAAUACGGAGGGUGCAAGCGUUAAUCGGAAUUACUGGGCGUAAAGCGCACGCAGGCGGUUUGUUAAGGUAGGUGAGAAAUCC
rnacentral:rRNA from 1 species